UAACGUAGGGGGCAAGCGUUGGUCCGGAAUUAUUGGGCGUUAAAGAGGCUCGUAGGCGGUUUGUUGCGUCGGCUGUGAAAUCCCGAGGCUCAACCUCGGGUCUGCAGUCGAUACGGGCAAACUAGAGUAUUGCAGGGGAGACUGGAAUUCCUGGUGUAGCGGUGAAAUGCGCAGAUAUCAGGAGGAACACCGGUGGCGAAGGCGGAUCUCUGGGCCUUACCUGACGCUGAGGCGCGAAAGCUAGGGGAGCGAACAGG
rnacentral:rRNA from 1 species